CUACAGCCCGUGCUCCUCCCAUUGAUGUGGGUGCACGCAGACUUUGCAGGGUCCAAGCUCUGCAUUUUAGUACUCAUUUUGAAUGAGUUUUCUUUAAAUCACGUUUAUUUUCGAUGUUGGCUUUCUCGGGACCGCAUUCAGGAUCUGAGCUUUCUGCAGGAGCAUCUUUGCCAAGAAACUCUUUCAGGAGAUAAUUUAAGGAAAAUGAGCACCAAAGAAUGGAAAUUACAGGAUUGAAUUCGCUUAAUUCAAAUGGAAAAAGUCUUCAUGGUUUCUACCCAGCAGUCAGAAUCCAAGACAACUCCUCAUUUUGUUGAAGAAUUGUCCAGAAAUGAAGAAGACUUUCCUGUCAGAGGGAGAUUUCUCUGCCAUGGAUCUCAUCUGGGUUCUGGAAACUACUGUUCCCCUGAGAAAAUGAAGGGAAUAUGGACCUCUCCAGGAGUCAAAUUUCUGUCUUUUGCAUACCUGCACUGAUUGGGCUUCCAAGGUGGGAGAUUUCUUACCUUCUCCUUUGGAUAGUAACAGCAGAGCAUUUGUUUGGUCCACCUUGCCCAGGGAGGAGGCUACCAUCAGCACUAGUGGGCAUGCAGGUUCAGAGAGAUGGGCAGGAUCUGCAUGAGCCUUGAACCAAGACUGCUGAACACAAUGUCAGUAGGUGUUUUGCUUGACUUUACACUCCAUGUUUGGGCAUGUUUGAAAGCAGGCAAGGCAGUUGACUGAAUGCAUUCAGAUCUCCAGCCCAGAGGAGAUGACAAUUUAAUUUUGAAUCACAGAAUCACAGAGUAACACAGAAUCACAGAACUGCAGCGGUUGGAAGGGACCUCAUGAAAACGAAUCCAGCUCCCCUGCUAAAGCAGGUACCCUACAGCACGUUGCAUAGGUAGGUGUCCAGAUGGAUCUUGAAUAUUCCCAUAGAAAGAGACCCCACAACCUCUCUGAGCAGCCUGUUCCCCUUACUGUAAAGAAGUUCUUCUGCAAGUUGGUACAGAACUUCCUAUGUUCAAGUUUUAGGUAAUUGUUCCUUGUCCUGUUGUUACACACCACUGAGAAUAGACUGGCCCCAUCCAUUUGCCUUUGACCUCCCUUUAGAUAUUUAUAAACAUUUAUCAGAUCUCUCCUCAGUCAUUUCACCAGGUGAACAGACCCAGGUUACUCAGACUUUCCUCAUAUGUGAGAUGGUCCAAGUCCUUUACCAUCUUUGUGGCCCUCCACCAGUCUCCUUCUAGGAGAUCGCUGUGUUUUUUGAACUGAGGAGCCCAGAACUGGACACAGUACUCCAGAUGUGGCAUCAUCAGGGCAGAGUAGAGGGGGAGGAUCACUUCUGUUGACCUGCUGGCCAUGCUGAUGACCAGCAGGAUGAGCUAAAAAAAAUAGGAGAUGAGGUUGCCCAUAGAUGCAACCCUCUUGGAGCUUCUCUAAAACAAGCCCAUCUGUUUGCUCAUAUUUACCCUGUCUGGAUGAUGCUACAGACUUUUUUGCAGCUAUCAUUUCCCAGUGUUGUUGAAUUCAGGGUGGAAAUAGUGGUGAGAACAUUUUCCUGGGACUCUUCCUCCCCUCUGAACUGAAAUGGAGCCCACCCCUGGCAAGAGAUGGGCAGGUGGAAGACAGCGUAAGUGUUGUGUGGAAAGGGACACUGACCUGCUCUGUCGUCUCUGAUGAAUUACUUCCACAAAGCAGCAACGUGGUUAUCUUUAACAAGAACUUUGUCCAGCACAGCGAGGCUUUGCUUCAGCUUCGCCACUGUGGAAUACUCUCAUAACUUUAAUUCAUAUCAGGGGUCGAUUGUGAGUUUAAAUAUAUGCAAUGCACUUUUAAGUCUUGUGCAAACAAAGACCAGACAGGGACUGGGACAAACUGAUGCAUGAGCAACCAUGUUGUUCCUUCUCCAGUCCAAGAACUGGAUUCUUUCACAAAAUCCUCUGUGUGGCAGUGAUAACAAGACAAAUAUUUGACAUAGCUGUAAGAUAACACUCUGACACACUAGUAAACACAAGUGAAUUAGUGGUUAUGAGAGAGACCCCAUGACACAGUUGCUUGCAGUAAGUUGGAUGCCAUCUCUUAGAAGACUUCUUGCAACCUGUUCUUAUCGGUUUUUGGUACAGAUUAAUGGGGAGUCUUCCAGUAGGAUUUGGGUUACUGUCUGGCAUAGACACUUUUGAAAAUCUUACCUUAUCUCUAUGUAAUGACUAUGUAAUUCAUGCAGUGUGUUGAAGGUACACUUGAAAAAGUAGGUCUGGAUCGUAAUAUCCCUCCCUGCAUCCUUCUUUCCCAUCAGGCCAAAAUGGCACACCUCUGUGUGUGCUGGAUUACAAUUUAUGCUGAAAAUGUUCCACAAAGGUCAUAGCAGCUAUCUGAGGAACAAGCAGAGCUGUGCACCCUGCCCUGUGCUCAUGUAGAUUACCAGAGGUAGCAAUAAGGCCAGGGACUGUGUGCAGUAAGGAAAACUAGAGAAACUUGGAAACUGCGCAGGCUUUAGAUUGUAGAGUGUUACCAAGGGCUCAGAUGGGAGAGUUUACCAGAAGAAGUGCAAUUUAGAAAUUGAAACAGAUGGAAUUUCAGUAUCCUUUGCAAAUUGGCGUAUCAGACUCCUACAAUAGCUUGCAGAAUCCUUGUCCCUCCCAGUGCAUAGCUGGUUCUUACUCCCUGAACUUGAUUUGUUAACAUCUGAUGUCGAAGGGUCUGUUUCUUAUUUUUGUUGAGUUAUACCUUAAAUGUGUCCUUUUUGGCUACUUAUGUUCUCAUUUCUGCAAAGCGGCAGCCAAGCAGGGGCCCAAGAGCUCAUUCCUGGCCUUCAGAUUUAUUCCCAUCGCUUUGAUGGGUUGAGUCUGGUGCUGCCUGUAUUGCAGAGCACCUGGAUGGGGCGAUCACAGGCAUUCACUGGCACUGUGAUCUCAGCUGUGGAAACAAUUCUGCUGGCAGCAGAAGCUCAGUUUCACUGGGGAGGGGCCCAUAUUUCUUGUUUGAAGUGUGUGAAGCCUCAUCACAGUUCUGUUAUCAGACCCACUGGAAUUUUUUCCUUUCCUCUCUUCUUGGUCCACCUUCUCUCAUUCCUCUAAAUCUUACUUUACUUCUGCUUCUUCUCAAAGUCCCUAAUGUUACUUUUCUGGCUCUUUUUUUCUGUAAUCUCUCCCUUCAUUUUUUCUUCACCCAUUAGCUCUUCCUUCACAAUGCUCCUCUACUGCCUCCUCCAUUUUCUCUGCCUCUCUUGUUCACUUUCCAGGUGCCUCUCAUUCUUCUCCCCAUGUCCUCACUUUCAUUUCUUCUCCAGAAGCUCUCUGAAUUGCUGCAGCUAUGGGGUAUACCCCUUGGAAAGAUAGCCCUGUCUGAGUUAGAGGUGCUGUGAGCUGCAGGUCUGUUGCUGAUGUUAGUAUUUUUUUUGACAAGUGACACAGGUGACACAAGUGACACAGGGGGCCCAUGGAGCCAAGUAGCGUAGCUGGGCAGUAGAAGGCAGCUUAUGCCACAAAAGACAUCACUUGCUCCAUGGACCAAAAGAGAUUACAGCCCCAUUCCGACACAUAAACCAUUGAGGUUUACUGAAAAUAAGGAUUGAUUUGCUGGGCUAUUUAGAGGCAUUAAGAUGCAGAUAUAUAUUUUCUCCCCAGUCUGAUGUCAUUUUGCAUGUUAACUGCCUAAUUCCUUUUAGCCUAUUGAUUUUACUGGUUUAUAAGAAUGACACUUGUGUAGAAACUGUGGAGAACUUUGCUCAGGGUGACCAGUGAAGACUGUCAGUUUCUCUCAGUCGUCUUAUGGGGGGACUGAAGGCUCAGCACAGUUUAAGAGGAGAAAAAAUAGGGAGAGAAAGAACAAUGGCACUUCAUAGACCAUACUCCUUAGGUUGUAUCUGACUCUGGCUAAAUGACCUGGACUGAAAAAUGUUUUCCUGAGGCUCAGCUCAGCUGACAUCUGCAGCAUGGUCCUCAUAUUUUGUGAUAGUCGAGAGUGGUAUUCAUGAAAUUCUGUGUCAACUUCUUUAGCAUAUUAAGAUUGAAGAAUGCUAUGAAGUAAGCAUGAAUAUCAUUAUUCAAUUUCUCUUCCUUCUAGUAACUCUGAUUUACUUCAGAUUUUACGUGAUCUCCCAAUUAUCAGAGUUUGAUGUGCCACAGGUGUUUCUAUAAGCAUACUGUUGUAUUGCUUUUCGUUCCUUGGAGAACAGUUGAUGCUUUGCCAAUGUCUGAAUGGACCUGCUAACUCUGAGAGCAAAGAAGUGGUUAAUUUGAUAAUAUUUAACUUGCCAAACCAUUCAUAUGCAGAGGUAACGUGCUCAGGAGUUGAACAGGGCAGUGCGAUCUCCCUUAGCUAUCAUUUCAGGAUGCCUGCAGAAUCAGGAAGGCCGUGUAUCAGCUUACACUCAACUUGGUAAUCUUGCAUGGGGCCUGUUUGUGUCUCUUGUGCUGAAGGCUGAAUGUAAAAUGAACAUUGUUAGCCAAGAAAGCAAAUAAAGGGAACUAUUUCCCAAGGCAUUUUACUCUGUUUAUUUAACGCCUCUGAACAAACCCCUUUCCACAUCCUCUGAACCUACUGGCAACUUCAGAUAGCUCCAUUUCCUGCUGGGUGAGUUUUUUCUAAAAUGUUUAUUCAGCUCCAGGAAAUGAUGAUUUCCUGAAUAUUCUGAAACUUCAUAUUUUUGUUGUAUCCCUGUUUAUUUAAUAGUCUUACUUAUUGUGUGAGUGUGCAAAGCACAACAACAUCCCUUGCCAUGUAACUGUGGAAGGAGUGGAACUUGAUGUAGUACAUCAAAAACCAGUUUAAGUGAAACUAGAUCUGUUUUUGCCAAUUUAUACACUAGUGUAUUUCCAUUAGCUUGAGUAGUUACUCCUUAUUUACACUGACCUUAAUGAGUUCGGAAGUAGGCUUUUAAAUUUCUCCUACUCCUUAAGAAAAAGUGCCUAAAAAUUCAAACUAGUGAAGGAGAAUUAAUUAGCCCAAAGCUCAACAUUUUAUAAUUCACAGCUUACAUUAAUGUCUGCUAGUUUUCUUUAUGCAGGAAACCAAUAGAAGGCACCAAAUGUUUUCGUCGCCCUCCACUGGGACUAAAAUUGAGAAAUUCUUAUUUUCUGAGGUCAAAGCUAACCUGUAUCCAGCACCCCAUCCCAACAUGGGUUUCACUAAAGAGAUUGAAACCUGUACACAGCCUUAAUGAAAAGGCCAUAAUAUUUUAUGUGAACCAGGAGUAACUAUGCUGAAAUGAGAAGUGCUUCACUAAGGUAAAUCAAGUGGGAUUGGUCCCAAAAGAAAUUCAGGAAUUACAUAGCUUUGCCAUUAACCUUGAACUGAGCCAAGUGUGUCUUCCAUGCUUUCUCCUUCUUUCUUGUCUACUUUUUGUUAACCUGCAUGGUCAGCUAUGACUUUUUUUUUUUUUCUUUUCUUUUUACAGGCAGAAAAGGUAAUUUAUGUUUCUUCUGAGCCUCAAGAGACAAUAUGGGCAUGCUGCGUUACCAUGCCCUAAAUGAAAUCUUAGAGUACCUAAGUAAAACUCACUCCACCCUUACCUGGAAGUUCCACUCAUGGAAACCACAUCCUUUCAUUGCCACCCACGUCUCCAUUCGGAAAGGACUUUGAAGGAGGAAGACUGAAGAUUAGAUCAUUCUUUUAUUAAGCAUCCUUUUGUCUGUUUUGCUCCAGAAACCAUGCUCUUCCUCUCCUAUGAGUCAUUUGUUGUUACUCUUACAACGUCUGUGGUAGGAAGGCUGGGUGCUUUCCCCCAAUUUAAAAUGUUCUUUUUAGAGUCUCUUCUCUUCUCUUCUCUUCUCUUCUCUUCUCUUCUCUUCUCUUCUCUUCUCUUCUCUUCUCUUCUCUUCUCUUCUCUUCUCUUCUCUUCUCUUCUCUUCUCUUCUCUUCUCUUCUCUUCUCUUCUCUUCUCUUCUCUUCUCUUCUCUUCUCUUCUCUUCUCUUCUCUUCUCUUCUCUUCUCUUCUCUUCUCUUCUCUUUUUCUUCCCUUCCCUUCCCUUCCACUCCCUUCCCUUCUCCCUUUCCUCUCCUCUCCCUUUCUCCUCCCCUCCCCUCCCCUCUCCUCCCUUCCUUCCUUCCAUGUCCCUUCUUUGUUUUUUGUUAUGCAUUUCAUAUUCAUUCACUAUUUUUACCCAAUUCAGACAGAGCCAUGCUACAUUGUGGACUAUUGCCAAAAAUUCUGCCAGUGACAAAGAUUGAAGCCUUCAUACGAACUGGAAGGAGUCUGUUCUUGGUCCACCCCAUGUGAAGCAACACUGUGCCCAUGCAUCUCUAUCUGAGAUGAAUAUUCUUUCUUUUGAUGCCAAGUAUUUGAUGUCCACCUACUGAGCUGAGUAAUCUCUGAGGAUGCCAUUGUUGCCAUGUUACCUCCUUCCUGAGUUCCUGUUGUGUAACUUUCCCACCAAGACUUCUCUCCUGACAACACUAACCCUAUGGAUAGUCCCUCCCAUGCUGUCUGUGAUCAUCCUACCAGGCCCUGCUGCCAGAUCCAAGCUUGCAAAUGGAAACAAGGUCUACAGUCUCGGUGAGGAAGCUGGCAUGGUGGGGUGUGUUAAGGCCCACAACAUAUUACAUGAUGAUGGAUUGAUGGGACCACAUCAAGGGGCCCUGAGAGCAAUGUGGCUCUUUGGGUAAGAGGAGAUGGCAGAAUCAGAGGAACAUCGUUAGUUAACCCACCCACAGUGCGGGAGAGACCUCAAAACCAACAAACAAUAGGUUAGAAGCUCACAGCUGGAGGUGGCAGCCCCAUAAUAACACCAGUGACAAAAAUCAAAGGAAUAAGAAGGAGCAGUUAACAUUUCCUCCACAAAUGCUAAAAACAGCACCAAAUAAUGUGUAUGAAUCAUCAUAUCUACUCUUACGCAAGCUGGAAUAAAAAUGUAAGAGUCAUGCAAACUGGGAUAAACUGUCACGCUCUGAGACAUAAUGCAUCUCCAGAAGUAAAGAAGAAACUGUUCCACAGGCAAGACUUGGCAUAAUUACACUCUGUGCGGGAUUUUGCACCUUUCUUUAAAGUAUCUGUGCUAACAACUGCCAGAGAUGACGUACCAAGCUGCAGAAGGCGUUUGGCUAACCUGCAGUGGCAGUGCCUAUCUCACUACUGGUUUAAUUCUGUCCCCCUUCCACUUUUUCACUACACACCCAUGCUACGAGACUGUAUGACAAAUGCCACUCAAAGGCAAGAGGUACACAUCCAGUAUUAGGUUUGUAAGGCAAUUAAAUUGUCCUUUUAAUGUUCUCUUAAUCACUGUGGUUUCUGUAGCGCCAUAUUAGAUACAUGUUGAAAUGAUGUCUUACUUCCACUGAUUAUACCAGUGUCCUUGUCUUUAAUGCAUUCACACUUCUGAAAGUUACUGCUCUUUUUGUCUUGUCUCCAGCUACAAUAUUCAGAAGACUAUGUUCUUAAAAGCAGCAAUUAGCACAUUGCAGUGGUACAGACGUCAACUAAUCCCCAUGGUGAUGAGAUCCCAAAGGCAAAGCAUGUGCUAACAAUCUGAACAAUACCAGGGAGCAUUUCUGGGCAUUGGGACUCAGUCAUCUAUAUUGCUAAAUUACCAGGAUCCCUCCAGGCACAUUUUCAGCCCAUCCUGACCACCAAUGUCAAACAGUCCCCAGUAUUGGAGUCAGCUUGGGACACUGACCAUUCCCCUCAAGCAGUUCGGAUGUGAUCACCCUCCCCUGGAGAGUUUCACAGUGCAGAUGAAAUGCAUCCCAUUCUGUGCCCAGGGGGCCUCCCUUCCAGAGGACAGCAAUAGAUGCAGUUAAUACAGUAAUGUUGAUAGCUGAGGUUCUCCCAUCUCAUAUUCACUUCUUGCUUUCAUUCCCUGUACUCAUGAAAUUCUUACUCUCGUCUGCCUUCUCUUCUGCUUUAUCACAUAGCGUGGUGUGAUGCCCAUGACUUAAGCAAGGAUAGCCAUCAUUCUUCGUGCUCCCCCAUAAGCAAGGUGUUUAGGGCUGCAGGACUCAGAGGAUGCCCUGGGUUCUGGAUUUUCUUAUGUUUAGAAUCCCUUUCCUCAGAGCCAGGAACUACAGUGAUUUAGCAAACAGUGUGAUAUCUAAUAGCUAGCAAGCUGAGAGGUAUGGAACAGCCAACGGGGAAAGCCCUGCAAAAGAACAGAGUGAAUCCCAGAGCCACAGCUGGGUGCCUAUGGCUGCUACCUUUGGUGAAAACUGAUGGUGCCUGUCAUUUUGGGGGAUUAGGUUCUUGAACUAGCCCUGUCUUAGAGACUGUUAGGUAUAGAGGCAGGCCAGUAAAUGAUUUCUGGUUUCAGGAGUGGCUGGGGGGAUUAGUAUACACAUGUGUUUACAGCCUUGCAGUGGCAAUAGGUUGCCUAAAUGUUCUGUGGAUCAAACUACACAUCAGCCAGUGCUGAGAUUUACAGGGCUUCCUUGCAGUUCAGCUUAUUAUGGCCCAUGGUGCCUCACCACAGUUCUCCUGGCAAGUGUCUUAGCACGAAGAGCCAGACCAAGGUCAGGAUACUUCCAAAUUCAUCAAAAAGGGACUGAAAUUAACCACAGGCAGUGCAGGGCACUAUGUUGUCCCCAUGCAGCAGUAUCACAUUCCCCGUUGGGUCCCAUGUGUCAUCCAGAGCUGCUUGAUGUGCUGUGUUAUAAGCACAGGCUUUCUCUAUCCGAACCACACCAUAUGGGUGCCUCAUUCCUUUUACAUGCGGCUGCAGGUUUCCUGCUGCAUAUGCUCAGCCUCCCACAGCUGGAAGCAGUAAGAGGUAGUUUGAUCUACAUGUUAUACUCAGGAAGGAUUGAAGUUUGCAAAUUUUUAGCACUCUGCACGCUAGCAGGCCCAUAAUAAUCUUUAUUGGCGGGUUUGUUUGCUUUAUGGUUGCAAUUUUCAUCCUUCGAUGAGAAGCUUCCAGCACUUCCUGCAGGAGCAGAAGGCUAUUGUCACUUUAUCACUUCACAGUUGCAGAUCUCUGUCCACCACUCACUGGUCUGUGGUAAACAACAUCUCCAGCGUUGCUUCUGUCCGUCAAGGGAAAGGGUUGAGCUGGCAUUUUGCCACAUUUGGCAAGUGUGGGCUGAUACAAACGAUACGAGGUUUUUUUUAUAGUGCCUAUCACCAGAGUAUCAAAGCGCUGAAACACUGCUAGUCGUGUUUGCCUCCCCAUUGAUCUUAUCACCAAAGGCCAGUCCUACCAUCCGUCUUCCAUGUGGUAUUGCUUAGAGGCUUCGUUUUGUCAGAUAGGCUGCUCUGCAUCCAGUGCUGGGGUAGGCUCUAACUCUGGGAUCUGGUUCCAGGCUUUAAUUAGGACUGAUGGCAAAUGGGCUGUUCACAAAUGCUUUUUGCAAGAUGACUCCUGCACAGUCAGAAGCUCUCUUAAAUUCAUUUGUCUCAUGUAGUGAACUUUUCAUUGCUUUAAGAGGCCUACGGAUGCUGCAGGUGUUAAAACUGAGGUCAAAGUAUUCUACAUCAGGUGGAACCCACAUAGGCAACAUCCUAGAAACUAAUUUGUAAUAAGUCUGUGAUGUUCAGAACGAGAUGGUUCUGCCAAUCUGAGCUGACUGACUGUUUGUUCAUGAUCUAUAUAAUAGUUGCAUUAGACCUUUUAAAUUUCAAUAUAUUUUUAUGCUUUGGCACUCUCCAGACACAUUGAAAUAAAUCUUGUGCAUUUCUGCAUGUUGCAGCAACUGGGUAAGUGCUACUGUGGUCAGUUUUAAUAGGUAUUAAUACAGUAAGUAGCAAGCAAAUUAUAACUGUUUCACAUUAGACGUAAUUUUACAGCAGACAAUUUUAUAAGGAGAAUGGAAUGAAUCAAAUACAGUAGUUUGUAUUAAAAUAUCUUUUACAUUCCCUGUGUUCCAGUGGAACUGAUGACAAGUCUAAGGAAGCAUGCUAGGACAAACAGACCAGAAAAUUAAAUUCUUCUAGCUUUCAUAUGCCACAGCAGGAAUAAUUUGGCUUUUUUUUUUCUUUCUUUCUCAGCCUUUCUUUCAAUUUUCUUUUUUGGAGAGAGGAUGACAAUGUAGUAUUACAUUUCCAAAUCCUAUAAAAAACCAUACAUUUUCAGUUUCAUACAACUAUGGUCUGGUUUAGUUCCUCUGGAUGGACUCUAAUGUGGUAUUCGUGAUAAUGUCAUUUACUUUGCAUGUGAAUAAAGCCAAAUGGUUACACACAAGGCUUGAAUCUCAUAGCUCUGGAUCUUUGGGAAAUGUUUAUUCUCUCAAUUAAGCAUAUAUAUAUUUGCCAGAUGUACAAGGUCUCACAGCGUUUUUAUGUACACCCCAUGCUAAAAGAGUCUGUGCUCAAGCUCUAGAUCCCACUGAAUGCAGAGCACUUCAACAUGUGGGUGUCUUUGCACUGAGGCAUUGGCUGCUUUGAUCUCAGUGUUCUUCGUGAGUCAGGAGAUCACUGUGAAGGCUCUGAGGGACUUCGUGUCUGCUGGCAUCAGUGGGGCAUCCAGAUCAGAUCUUCCUUAGUAAGAUGGGAGCUUAUUCAGCCUGAUUUUCACUGUCCAAAGGUGGAGUGCCUUGCCUCGACUAGCUAUGAUCAAUAUGGACAGAGACACACCUAUCAGGGAGCCAUUUAUUUCAUGCUUAUGUAUGAGAUAAUCAGUCUUAUUCAAGACCAGUGGGAGAACUGGCUCCUGUCUGUAUAUCACCUGUAAGGAGAGCCCAAACAACAGGCUUGGCUAGGUGACUACCAUUCAGAUAGCUGUGCUAUAGGGCCAAGAUACAGACAGGCUGCCACCUGGGUGGAGACAACCAUCUACAUGUGAUGCAUGUGGUGAUGGAAGUCACCAUGUUCUCAAGCCCUUUCUUUACCUUGGAGCAGACACAGCACUGGUCAUAAAUCAGCAGUAAAUAAAAUGCUAAAACUUAACAAGUUGAAAAGAAUAAUCAACUCAUGCUUACAUAGGAGUUACAUGAAAACUUCCUAAAAAUAUUUGCGUUAUGAAUCUGUCUAUCCCUGGUCUAGAGAGGUUCCAGCAGUC
rnacentral:lncRNA from 1 species